rnacentral:ncRNA from 2 species
AGUAGGGUAUUGUGCGUUAAGUGCCGUGCGAACGUGGGGUGUCGGCGGACGAAGGGUUUUCCCGCGGUGCAAUGCU